GGAUAUAUCUCAGUUGGCAGAGUGCUUGCCUCACAUGCACAAGGUCAUGGGUUCAAUCCCCAACACCA
rnacentral:tRNA from 1 species